rnacentral:rRNA from 1 species
UACGACUGAAGGCAGCAGUGGGGAAACUUGCACAAUGGGCGCAAGCCUGAUCCAGCCAUGCCGCGUGAGUGAUGAAGGCCUUAGGGUCGUAAAGCUCUUUCGCCAGGGAUGAUAAUGACAGUACCUGGUAAAGAAACCCCGGCUAACUCCGUGCCAGCAGCCGCGGUAAUACGGAGGGGGUUAGCGUUGUUCGGAAUUACUGGGCGUAAAGCGCGCGUAGGCGGGUUGUUAAGUUAGAGGUGAAAUCCCAGGGCUCAACCCUGGAACUGCCUUUAAUACUGGCAACCUAGAGUUCGAGAGAGGUGAGUGGAAUUCCGAGUGUAGAGGUGAAAUUCGUAGAUAUUCGGAGGAACACCAGUGGCGAAGGCGGCUCACUGGCUCGAUACUGACGCUGAAGUGCGAAAGUGUGGGGAGCAAACAGGAUUAGAUACCCUGGUAGUCCACCCCGUAAACGAUGAAUGCCAGUCGCCGGGUAGCAUGCUAUUUCGUGACCCACCUAACGGAAUAAACAUUCCCCCC